rnacentral:tRNA from 1 species
UUCUUUGGCACUAUAGGCAGUGCGUCAGUCUCACAAGCUGAAGGUCCUGAGUUCAGUCCUCGGAAGGA